AAAAGGUGAAGAUUUGAGAUACUCUGA
rnacentral:piRNA from 1 species